rnacentral:rRNA from 1 species
CUUGAAACUGGGAGACUUGAGUGCAGGAGAGGAGAGUGGAAUUCCUAGUGUAGCGGUGAAAUGCGUAGAUAUUAGGAGGAACACCAGUUGCGAAGGCGGCUCUCUGGACUGUAACUGACGCUGGGGCACGAAAGCGUGGGGAGCAAACAGGAUUAGAUACCCUGGUAGUCCACGCUGUAAACGAUGAGUACUAGGUGUCGGGGGUUACCCCCCUCGGUGCCGCAGCUAACGCAUUAAGUACUCCGCCUGGG